UGUGGUGUGGUCUGCAGAGGGAUU
rnacentral:misc_RNA from 1 species